rnacentral:rRNA from 1 species
UACGUAGGUGGCAAGCGUUGUCCGGAUUUAUUGGGUUUAAAGGGUGCGUAGGCGGCCCUGUAAGUCAGUGCUGAAAUAUCCCAGCUUAACUGGGAGGGUGGCAUUGAUACUGCGGGGCUAGAGUACAGAUGAGGUAGGCGGAAUUGACGGUGUAGCGGUGAAAUGCUUAGAUAUCGUCAAGAACACCGAUAGUGUAGACAGCUUACUAGGCUACAACUGACGCUGAGGCACGAAAGUGUGGGGAUCAAACAGG